AUUGAACGCUGGCGGCAUGCCUUACACAUGCAAGUCGAACGGCAGCACGGGAGCAAUCCUGGUGGCGAGUGGCGAACGGGUGAGUAAAGUAUCGGAACGUGCCCAGUCGUGGGGGAUAACGUAGCGAGAGUUACGCUAAUACCGCAUAUUCUGUGAGCAGGAAAGCAGGGGAUCGCAAGACCUUGCGCUGAUUGAGCGGCCGAUAUCGGAUUAGCUAGUAGGUGAGGUAAAGGCUCACCUAGGCGACGAUCUGUAGCGGGUCUGAGAGGAUGAUCCGCCACACUGGAACUGAGACACGGUCCAGACUCCUACGGGAGGCAGCAGUGGGGAAUUUUGGACAAUGGGCGCAAGCCUGAUCCAGCCAUGCCGCGUGAGUGAAGAAGGCCUCGGUUGUAAACGUACUUU
rnacentral:rRNA from 1 species